rnacentral:rRNA from 1 species
GACGAACGCUGGCGGCGUGCUUAACACAUGCAAGUCGAACGGAAAGGCCCUGCUUUUGUGGGGUGCUCGAGUGGCGAACGGGUGAGUAACACGUGAGUAACCUGCCCUUGACUUUGGGAUAACUUCAGGAAACGGGGGCUAAUACCGGAUAGGAGCUCCUGCUGCAUGGUGGGGGUUGGAAAGUUUCGGCGGUUGGGGAUGGACUCGCGGCUUAUCAGCUUGUUGGUGGGGUAGUGGCUUACCAAGGCUUUGACGGGUAGCCGGCCUGAGAGGGUGACCGGCCACAUUGAGACUGAGAUACGGCCCAGACUCCUACGGGAGGCAGCAGUGGGGAAUAUUGCACAAUGGGCGGAAGCCUGAUGCAGCAACGCCGCGUGCGGGAUGACGGCCUUCGGGUUGUAAACCGCUUUCGCCUGUGACGAAGCGUGAGUGACGGUAAUGGGUAAAGAAGCACCGGCUAACUACGUG